AGGAGCCCCCAGCUGCUCCCCACCCUGUCUCUGGGUUUCCAUGUCUACAAUUCCUUCCACAGUGAUGUCAGCACCUUGGUGAGCACCCUGAGGUGGUUAUUGGGAUGGGGUCAGAUGAUCCCUAAUUACACCUGCCAGGCACAGAACAAGAAUGUGGCUGUCACUGCAGGAACCACACCAGCAUUCUCUGCCCAUAUUGGGACACUGUUGGAGCUCUACAAAAUACCACAGAGAACUCAAUAUGGAACACUUUUUCUCUUUUGAUUCAGACAACCUAUGGAGAUUUUGAUCCUGUACUGAAAGGAACUGAAUGUGGAAAAUUUUGGAGUGUCCAUUCAAUGCCUCCCUGGAGUCUCUGCCAAAGGAAAAAUUAGACACGACUGUGUCUGGAUCCGGCUACUACAUCUAUGAUGCUGUGGAUGUGGUGGCCUGAGCCCUCCAUGAAAUACUUCUUAUAAAAGCAGAACAGGGGUCCAUAAUGGAUGCAGGCCAGCUCAUGUUUCUCCCUUAGCAGGUUGCAAGUAAACCUCUAAUGAUUGUAGGGUCUAAUUAGCAACAGUGUCAACUCUUUUAACUAGAAAUAAUUGAUUAAAAACUUUCACUGUGAGAGCUCCACCCAUUCCUAAGAAACACCCAAUUUAAAAAAAGCACUGGAGCUCACGUGUCACUGGAUGAGAAAAGAAACUCUGUGUCACAGCAUGUAAUUCUGAACUAUAUGAUUUUCCUAAAGGUCUUGGACUUCAGGUGAAAGACGUUCUGUCAGCCAGGAUUCAGGAACAUCCCUCAGGAAGAGAGAGCUACCUGCUGCUUUGUCUGUGUAUUGUGCCCAGAGAGAGAAAUAUGUAAUCAGACAGGUAUGAACUGACAAAAUUACACAAUCACUUUCUCUCACCUUUUCUUUGUCUCCAAAUAAAAUGUAAAGGAUCUGAGAGUAACCAAUAGCAUCACAUUUCUUCAUUAUUUUCUAUUAUUUCAUUCACUCAUUCAAUACAUUCAUUUAGGAAAUCAAU